rnacentral:rRNA from 1 species
CCUACGGGUGGCUGCAGUGGGGAAUAUUGCGCAAUGGGCGAAAGCCUGACGCAGCGACGCCGCGUGAGGGAUGAAGGUCUUCGGAUCGUAAACCUCUGUCAGCAGGGAAGAACGGUCCCUGUGCUAAUCAGCAGUGAAUUGACGGUACCUGCAAAGGAAGCACCGGCUAACUCCGUGCCAGCAGCCGCGGUAAUACGGGGGGUGCGAGGGUUAAUGGGAUUUACGGGGCGUAACGGGCUCGUAGGCGGUUGGUCAAGUCAAGGGUGAAAUCCCCGGGCUCAACGUGGGAACUGCCUUUGAAACUGGCAAACUGGAGUGUGGGAGAGGUUAGUGGAAUUCCAGGUGUAGGAGUGAAAUGCGUAGAUAUCAGGAGGAACAUCAGUGGCGAAGGCGACUAACUGGAACAUAACUGACGCUGAGGAGCGAAAGCGUGGGUAGCAAACAGGAUUAGAUACCCGAGUAGUC